UACGGAGGGGGGCUAGCGUUGUUCGGAAUUACUGGGCGUAAAGCGCGCGUAGGCGGACCUGCAAGUCGGGGGUGAAAGCCCGAGGCUCAACCUCGGAACUGCCUUCGAUACUGCGGGUCUCGAGUCCGGGAGAGGUGAGUGGAAUUCCUAGUGUAGAGGUGAAAUUCGUAGAUAUUCGGAAGAACACCAGUGGCGAAGGCGGCUCACUGGACUGGUAUUGACGCUGAGGUGCGAAAGCGUGGGGAGCAAACAGGG
rnacentral:rRNA from 1 species